UACGUAGGUGACAAGCGUUGUCCGGAUUUACUGGGCGUAAAGAGCGCGCAGGCGGUCGAUCAAGUCGAGUGUGAAAGCCCCGGGCUCAACCUGGGAAUGGCGAUGGAUACUGGCUCGCUAGAGUGCGGUAGAGGAGAGUGGAAUUCCCGGUGUAGCAGUGAAAUGCGUAGAGAUCGGGAGGAACAUCAGUUGCGAAGGCGGCUCUCUGGACCAGCACUGACACUGAGGCACGAAAGCGUGGGGAGCAAACAGG
rnacentral:rRNA from 1 species